CUGCAGCACGUGCUGAUCUCCAAGGCUCCAUUUGGCUGCGUCCCUACCCUGCAUAACCCUCCCAGCUAGUCUACUCCAGGGCAGCAUCCAGCUGGUGACCUGAGAGGGCAGUGGCGCACCAGUCUCCAUGAAGGUUGAGCUCCGAUGGCCAACAGCCAUUUCCACCUUGUGGUCUACAACUCUUCAUCCCGACUGCAUGGAGGUUGGUCUCUCUCUUCAGCUGGAUUUAGGCCACCAUCUGAGCCCCCGGGGUACGUUUUGUCUGACCCUGGCGCCAUUCGAACGGUUCUUCUACAGCAUCAGGCGUUCACCUGGCUCCUAGGGCUUUUGUGCUGUAGGCCUAUAUUUCCAGCUACUUUUGGAAAAAAUCUCUCUGGAGGCUCAAUGAGCUUGUCACAUCAGCCUGCCCAGAGUAGGGCAAAGUGCAACUGCAGCCAGCUCAUGCCUUCAAGAGAAGGACUGAAGAUCAUUGUGUGCCUAAACCAAUUCUCUUUCCUGCCACCAUGUGAAGAAGGACAUGUUUGCUUCCCCUUCUGCCAUGAAUGGACAGGGUCCUGCUGUGUUGCCCAGGCUGGCCUUGAACUCCUGGCUUCAAACAGUCUUCCCACUUGGGCUCCCAAAGUGCUGGGAUUAAAGGGGCGAGUUACAGCACCAGGACCUGAAAUGUGACACCCCUGCUCCCCAUUCACCCUCCGCUAUCAGUAAAAGCUUCCUCAGACCUCACCAGAAGCUGGACAGAUAGAUGCUGGUGCCAAGCUUGUACAGACUGCAGAACCAUGGGCCAAAUAAACCUCUUUUCUUUAUAAA
rnacentral:lncRNA from 1 species